AGAGGUGGCAAGCGUUGUUCGGAAUUACUGGGCGUAAAGGGCGCGCAGGCGGCUCGUCAAGUCCCGUGUGAAAUCCCCCGGCUCAACUGGGGAACUGCGCGGGAAACUAGCGAGCUUGAGUUCGGGAGAGGAAAGCGGAAUUCCGGGUGUAGCGGUGAAAUGCGCAGAUAUCCGGAGGAACACCAGUGGCGAAGGCGGCUUUCUGGACCGACACUGACGCUGAGGCGCGAAAGCUAGGGGAGCGAACGGGGAUUAGAUACCCCGGUAGUCCUAGCCCUAAACGUUGAGCACUGGGUGUAGGGGGUAUGAACCCCCCCCCCCUGUGCCGAAGCUAACGCAUUAAGUGCUCCGCCUGGGGAGUACGGUCGCAAGGCUG
rnacentral:rRNA from 1 species